rnacentral:rRNA from 1 species
UACAGAGGUGGCAAGCGUUGUUCGGAAUUACUGGGCGUAAAGGGCGCGUAGGCGGUCUUGUAAGUCUCGUGUGAAAUCCCUCGGCUUAACUGAGGAACUGCACGGGAUACUGCAUGACUUGAGAUCGGGAGAGGGAAGCGGAAUUCCGGGUGUAGCGGUGAAAUGCGUAGAUAUCCGGAGGAACACCGGUGGCGAAGGCGGCUUCCUGGACCGACACUGACGCUGAGGAGCGAAAGCGUGGGGAGCGAACAGG